UCUUCAUUUCGAGCGCUCUCUCACCGGUCAGAGAGACGAGAGAUUGUGUGAAAUGAAGAGA
rfam:Pristionchus pacificus strain PS312 contig28, whole genome shotgun sequence.